GAUGAACGCUGGCGGCGUGCCUAAUACAUGCAAGUCGAGCGAACAGACGAGGAGCUUGCUCCUCUGACGUUAGCGGCGGACGGGUGAGUAACACGUGGAUAACCUACCUAUAAGACUGGGAUAACUUCGGGAAACCGGAGCUAAUACCGGAUAAUAUAUUGAACCGCAUGGUUCAAUAGUGAAAGACGGUUUUGCUGUCACUUAUAGAUGGAUCCGCGCCGCAUUAGCUAGUUGGUAAGGUAACGGCUUACCAAGGCAACGAUGCGUAGCCGACCUGAGAGGGUGAUCGGCCACACUGGAACUGAGACACGGUCCAGACUCCUACGGGAGGCAGCAGUAGGGAAUCUUCCGCAAUGGGCGAAAGCCUGACGGAGCAACGCGGCGGGAGUGAUGAAGGUCUUCGGAUCGUAAAACUCUGUUAUUAGGGAAGAACAAAUGUGUAAGUAACUAUGCACGUCUUGACGGUACCUAAUCAGAAAGCCACGGCUAACUACGUG
rnacentral:rRNA from 1 species